ensembl:processed_transcript Snhg17 small nucleolar RNA host gene 17
CCGAAAGUGAUCUUGGCUGCCGUGCCCCGGUCAUUGGUAGUGCAGGGAAAGGAUGCGGAAAGACGGGCUCCGAGCUCGGGGCCUCUGGCCUGGAGCUUUCCUACACUUGUGUCUUUCUCUGCAGCCUUACAGAAGUGUGGGUGGCGCUUUCUGGAAGCUGCACAAGUCAGUGCUGGGUCUUCGCAGCUUGGUGUUCUGUUUCCAGAAACUUGGGGUGUUUGCAUGUGCUAGGUCAGCACAGAUUUCCAAAGGAUCCCUAGGAUUGUCACGUGUGCUCAACAGUCCUCCUCGGCUUUCCAGAAGAGGCUGGAACAGGGCCCUUGAAGAUGUUUGUGGACAUCAGAGG